CAGUCGCCACGGUAAUACGUAGGUGGCAAGCGUUGUCCGGAAUUAUUGGGCGUAAAGGGCUCGCAGGCGGUUUCUUAAGUCUGAUGUGAAAGCCCCCGGCUCAACCGGGGAGGGUCAUUGGAAACUGGGAAACUUGAGUGCAGAAGAGGAGAGUGGAAUUCCACGUGUAGCGGUGAAAUGCGUAGAGAUGUGGAGGAGCACCAGUGGCGAAGGCGACUCUCUGGUCUGUAACUGACGCUGAGGAGCGAAAGCGUGGGGAGCGAACAGGAUUAGAUACCCCAGUAGUCCCUGUCUCUUAUAC
rnacentral:rRNA from 1 species